CGAACGCUGGCGGCAGGCUAACACAUGCAAGUCGAGCGCAUCUUCGGAUGAGCGGCGGACGGGUGAGUAACGCGUGGGAACGUGCCCUUCUGUUCGGAAUAGCCCCGGGAAACUGGGAUUAGAGCCGGAUACGCCCUUUUGGGGAAGGAAGGAUCGGCCCGCGUCUGAUUAGGUAGUUGGUGGGGUAACGGCCUACCAAGCCUACGAUCAGUAGCUGGUUUUAGAGGAUGAUCAGCCACACUGGGACUGAGACACGGCCCCAGACUCCUACGGGAGGCAGCAGUUGGGGAAUCUUAGACAAUGGGGGCAACCCUGAUCUAGCCAUGCCGCGUGAGUGACGAAGGCCCUAGGGUCGUAAAGCUCUUUCGCCUGUGAAGAUAAUGACGGUAGCAGGUAAAGAAACCCCGGCUAACUCCGUGCCAGCAGCCGCGGUAAUACGGAGGGGGUUAGCGUUGUUCGGAAUUACUGGGCGUAAAGCGCGCGUAGGCGGAUCGGAAAGUUGGGGGUGAAAUCCCGGGGCUCAACCCCGGAACGGCCUCCAAAACUGUCGGUCUCGAGUUCGAGAGAGGUGAGUGGAACUCCGAGUGUAGAGGUGAAAUUCGUAGAUAUUCGGAAGAACACCAGUGGCGAAGGCGGCUCACUGGCUCGAUACUGACGCUGAGGUGCGAAAGUGUGGGGAGCAAACAGGAUUAGAUACCCUGGUAGUCCACACCGUAAACGAUGAAUGCCAGACGUCGGGCAGCAUGCUGUUCGGUGUCACACCUAACGGAUUAAGCAUUCC
rnacentral:rRNA from 1 species